AUUUAGACUGAAAUUUUUAUAAAUGUUUUAAUAUACUAAAAACAUUAAUAAACUUAGUAAAGGAGAUAGAAAAUUAUUUUAUUAAAUAAAAGUACUGAGAAGGAAAUAGUUGCAAUUAGAUAAUAAAAAGAAUUAAGUUCUGUACCUUUUGCAUCAUGGUUUAGCUAGAUUUAAUUUUUUUAAGAAAUUUCUCGAAACCUAAUGGGCUAUACUUAACCGAUAUUAUUAGAUAUCGUAGAAGUAAUUGUAGCAUAAAUUUUUUUAGAGUUAAGUAUAGAAAUGAGAUUUUAUGCGUAUUAGGUGAUAGCUAGUUUUUCUCUAAAAGUAUAGAAGUACUACGAAUUUUUAAUACUAUGGAGAACAAUAACUAUAGUAUAUAUAAAAAUUUAGUCAGGUUCUUGAGGAUAAGCUCAAGAACAUGUUAAUUUGUAUAUAAAAUGUUUAGUUAAAUUUAGGCUUGAAGAUGGCCAUAAUGAAUGACUUUGUUACAAUUUCAUUACUUUAAAAAACAUAAAAUCAAUUUACUUUUUUAAAGAGAAGAAAGUUUUUGAAAUCAAAAUAGAACUAAACGUAUGCUAAAAUGAGUAUUAAUUAAUUUAUGUUUUUUAUUACAAUAAAAUUAAAACCUAAAUACAAUAUUUUUAUAAAAAAUUGAUGAAAGGAACUCGGCAAAUAUGGAUUCCGCCUGUUUAUCAAAAACAUGGCUCCCUGAUAAUUUUAUAUAGGGAGUCGGACCUGCUCGGUGAAUAUAUUUUAACAGCCGCGGUACUCUGACCGUGCAAAGGUAGCAUAAUCAUUUGCCUUAUAAUUGAAGGCUAGUAUGAAUGGUUUGACGAGAAUCGAGCUGUCUCUCUUCAAUUAAAUAUAAUUUUAUUUACAGGUGAAGAAGCCUGUUUACUAUUGAAAGACAAGAAGACCCUAUCGAGCUUUAAGGAAUUUAGUAAACUUACAACAUAUUUAUAAAAAAGUGAGAUUAUUAAAGACUUUGGUUGGGGCGACUGAGGAACAAACAAAGCUUCCUUUAACUAAGAAAAACUUACAGGUAAUGAUCCAAUAAAAUUGAUCAAAGAAAUUAGUUACCGUAGGGAUAACAGCAUAAUCUCCUUCGAGAGUUCUCAUCGAAAAGGGGGUUUGUGACCUCGAUGUUGGACCAGAAUACCCAGAAGAUGCAGCUGUCUUCAAUGGUUGGUCUGUUCGACCAUUAAAAUUCUACGUGAUCUGAGUUCAGACCGGCGUGAGCCAGGUCAGUUUCUAUCUUCAAUUUAUGAUGAUUGCUUUAGUACGAAAGGACCAAGCCAUUGCAAAAUUAGUUUGUAAUAUCCAUGAUUAAAUAUAAAGAUUAAUUUAAUUUAUAGG
rnacentral:rRNA from 1 species